CCUCAGAGUCAGUCAAGCUACUGACAAAAACAUUUCUUUGGAAGUGAUGGGUAUUUAGGAUGUAAGCCCUGUGGCUCAAGACUGAGCUUAAAAUGUGUUUCGGGGGAUGUCCAAGUACAGAAAUCUCUACCAGAUGCCAUGAGACACAAAGGCCACAGAACACGCCAUGACAUUUGGUCUACCUUUCUCAUCCCCUAUUUGUCUCCAAGUCCUGGACCAUCUGAACUUGUAAGAAAUUAUCCAUGAAUUGAAAGUUAAAGAAGAGGUCAGAAAUAGAAUCAAAUAGUGUAAAUAGAUCCACAGAAGAAGAAGUAUAAUGAACCUGAAAUUGCUAAACCCCUUUUAAGGAAAAUUUUCCUAGCAUAAUAUAUGAAGUCUUGGUGGGGACCAAAAAGCUGAAGAAAUCAGAGAUAAGUGCUGCACAUUCUAAGGAAAGGUGCAAGACAUCUGCGGUACUCCACCAGCCCCCAACCUUGGAGGAUCCAGAAACAGAAGAGGAGAAGUAGCAAGCAGAGAGCAGAUACAAACAGCACUCCCUGCAAUCAUUUACCCAUUUGUGGUUCUCUAGUUGCAAGCCAGUUGCUUAUGCUGGGGUAGGGAAAGGUGCUUUGAAAUGGUUUGUUUUGAUUUAAAUUGGAUUGGAUAUUUUCACAUCUGAAAAUAAUACUGUUCUAAUACCCAAAAGUGACAAUAUAAAAGCUAUAGGGAAACUUCCUGAGGUAUUUUCCAAGAGAGCAGAAAGCAGGUCUAACAGAGAAUUUCUUAAAAUAGUGGUAGAGAAAAAGGAAACAAAUUCUUGGUUGUAUCCCAUUGAAAUUAGCCUGUUCACCUGCACACACAUACAUGUGUCUACGUAUUCUCACAGUAUUGCAUUUUUUUCUAGGUUGAUGAAAUAUCUUUAAGCUCUUUGGUCUAUGCUUCAUAAAAGAUAGCAAAAUAAAAUUUUAUGGAAUUUCCAAUAAC
ensembl:lncRNA novel transcript